GGGCCCGCACAAGCGGUGGAGCAUGUGGUUUAAUUCGAUGAUACGCGAGGAACCUUACCAGGGCUUAAAUGUAAGUUGCAUAAGUUAGAGAUAGCUUUUUCUUCGGACUACUUACAAGGUGCUGCAUGGUUGUCGUCAGCUCGUGCCGUGAGGUGUCAGGUUAAGUCCUAUAACGAGCGCAACCCUUGUCCUUAGUUGCCAGCGUGUAAUGACGGGGACUCUAACGGAACUGCCGGUGCAAACCGUGAGGAAGGUGGGGACGACGUCAAAUCAUCACGGCCCUUACGUCCUGGCCACACACGUGCUACAAUGGCGCAUACAGAGGGCGGCCAACUUGCGAGAGUGAG
rnacentral:rRNA from 1 species